rnacentral:rRNA from 1 species
AUACGUAGGUGGCGAGCGUUGUCCGGAAUUACUGGGCGUAAAGGGCGUGUAGGCGGCCUGUUAAGUCAGGCGUGAAAACCCCGGGCUUAACCUGGGGACUGCGUUUGAAACUGGCGGGCUUGAGGGCAGGAGAGGAAAGUGGAAUUCCCGGUGUAGCGGUGAUAUGCGUAGAUACCGGGAGGAACACCAGUGGCGAAGGCGGCUUUCUGGACUGCACCUGACGCUGAGGCGCGAAAGCCAGGGGAGCGAACGGGAUUAGAUACCCCGGUAGUCCUGGCCGUAAACGAUGGGUACUAGGUGUGGGAGGUAUCGACUCCCUCCGUGCCGGAGUUAACGCAUUAAGCAUCCCGCCUGGGGAGUACGGUCGCAAGGCUGAA